rnacentral:rRNA from 1 species
AUGGUCAAGCUAGUAAGGGCAGACGGUGGAUGCCUUGGCGCUGAGAGGCGACGAAGGACGUGGUUAGCUGCGAUAAGCUUCGGGGAGCCGCUAAACAGGCUUUGAUCCGGAGAUCUCCGAAUGGGGCAACCCGGCCGCGGUAAUACGCGGUCAUCCCGCUUUCGGGUGGGAGGCGAACCCGGGGAACUGAAACAUCUCAGUACCCGGAGGAAAAGAAAUCAAACGAGAUUCCCUCAGUAGCGGCGAGCGAACGGGGAAGAGCCCAAACCCCGCACUCACUUGGGUGCAUGGAGCCCGGCUUCGGGUUCGGUGCGCCGAAGUGAGUGCGGGGGGUUGUGGGACCCUCCAUGAGCAAACAGGACGGCUAGCGGAAGGAUCUGGAACGAUCCCCCAAAGAGGGUGAUAGGCCCGUAGGCGAAAGCCGGCCGGUUUGCGGAGGGGAUCCCGAGUACCGCGGGGCACGUGGAACCCCGUGGGAAUCAGGGUGGACCAUCAUCCAAGGCUAAAUACUACUCAGCGACCGAUAGUGAACCAGUACCGUGAGGGAAAGGUGAAAAGUACCCCGGUGAGGGGAGUGAAACAGUACCUGAAACCGUUUGCCUACAAGCGGUGGGAGUCCCGCACCCACUUCAGAUCAUAGGGGCGUGUCAUGUAUUACGUGUAUUUGCUGGUAGACGACGACAAGAGGCCGUACAUUGGCUUCACGAAGGAUCUGCGGCGAAGGCUCCGGCAGCAGCAAGCAGGUGAGAGCCGCAGCACCCGGGGCACAGCGUUAAGGCUCGUGUAUUACGAGGCCUACGCUGCCAAGGCGGAUGCGCAACAGCGCGAGAGACGUCUGAAGCAUGACGGCAGAGCACGCUAUGCAUUGAUGCGAACAACGGAGGCCAGUUUAGGCUCUGUGGUCUGAAGUGGGUGCGGGAUGACCGCGUGCCUUUUGCAUAAUGAGUCAGCGAGUUACUCUCUGUGGCGAGGUUAAGCCGAUUGAGGUGGAGCCGUAGCGAAAGCGAGUCUGAACAGGGCGAUGGAGUUGCAGGGAGUAGACCCGAAACCAGGUGAUCUAUCCAUGGCCAGGGUGAAGUCGCGGUAACACGCGAUGGAGGCCCGAACCGAACAAGGUUGAAAACUUGUCGGAUGAGCUGUGGAUAGGAGUG